rnacentral:rRNA from 1 species
UUUCCAUGCAGUCGACGGCAGCACGGGACUUCGGCCUGGUGGCGAGUGGCGAACGGGUGAGUAAUACAUCGGAACGUACCCAGAAGUGGGGGAUAACGCAGCGAAAGUUGCGCUAAUACCGCAUACGUUCUACGGAAGAAAGUGGGGGAUCUUCGGACCUCAUGCUUUUGGAGCGGCCGAUGUCUGAUUAGCUAGUAGGUAGGGUAAAGGCCUACCUAGGCGACGAUCAGUAGCUGGUCUGAGAGGACGACCAGCCACACUGGAACUGAGACACGGUCCAGACUCCUACGGGAGGCAGCAGUGGGGAAUUUUGGACAAUGGGCGCAAGCCUGAUCCAGCAAUGCCGCGUGAGUGAAGAAGGCCUUCGGGUUGUAAAGCUCUUUUGUCAGGGAAGAAACGGUUCCGGCUAAUAUCUGGAGCUAAUGACGGUACCUGAAGAAUAAGCACCGGCUAACUACGUGCCAGCAGCCGCGGUAAUACGUAGGGUGCAAGCGUUAAUCGGAAUUACUGGGCGUAAAGCGUGCGCAGGCGGUUUUGUAAGUCUGUCGUGAAAGCCCCGGGCUCAACCUGGGAAUUGCGAUGGAGACUGCAAGGCUUGAAUCUGGCAGAGGGGGGUAGAAUUCCACGUGUAGCAGUGAAAUGCGUAGAGAUGUGGAGGAACACCGAUGGCGAAGGCAGCCCCCUGGGUCAAGAUUGACGCUCAUGCACGAAAGCGUGGGGGAGCAAACAGGAUUAGAUACCCUGGUAGUCCACGCCCUAAACGAUGUCUACUAGUUGUCGGGUUUUAAUUAACUUGGUAACGCAGCUAACGCGUGAAGUAGACCGCCUGGGGAGUACGGUCGCAAGAUUAAAACUCAAAGGAAUUGACGGGGACCCGCACAAGCGGUGGAUGAUGUGGAUUAAUUUCGAUGCAACGCGAAAAACCUUACC